CGUAAACAGAGGGAAGCGAAGCGGUGACGUGGAGCGAAUCCCAAAAAUAACGUCCCAGUUCGGAUUGUAGUCUGCAACUCGACUACAUGAAGCUGGAAUCGCUAGUAAUCGCGAAUCAGAAUGUCGCGGUGAAUACGUUCCCGGGUCUUGUACACACCGCCCGUCACACCAUGGGAGUCAGCAACGCCCGAAGCCGGUGACCCAACCGAAAGGAGGGAGCCGUCGAAGGUGGGGCCGAUAACUGGGGUGAAGUCGUAACAAGGUAGC
rnacentral:rRNA from 1 species